UACCAGCACCCCGAGUGGUCGGGACGUUUAUUGGGCCUAAAGCAUCCGUAGCCGGUUCUACAAGUCUUCCGUUAAAUCCAACUGCUUAACAGGUGGGCUGCGGAAGAUACUAUAGAGCUAGGAGGCGGGAGAGGCAAGCGGUACUCGAUGGGUAGGGGUAAAAUCCGUUGAUCCAUUGAAGACCACCAGUGGCGAAGGCGGCUUGCCAGAACGCGCUCGACGGUGAGGGAUGAAAGCUGGGGAGCAACCGGG
rnacentral:rRNA from 1 species